rnacentral:rRNA from 1 species
GAAUGCGAUUAUACCAGCACUAAAGCAUCAGAUCCCAUCAAAACUCCGAAGUUAAACGUGCUUGGGCGAGAGUAGUACUAGGAUGGGUGACCCCCUUGAAGUCCUAGUGCUGCAUCUC